UACGUAGGGUGCAAGCGUUAAUCGGAAUUACUGGGCGUAAAGCGUGCGCAGGCGGUUUUUUAAGUCAGAUGUGAAAGCCCCGGGCUCAACCUGGGAAUUGCAUUUGAAACUGGGGAACUAGAGUGUGUGAGAGGGGGGUAGAAUUCCAAGUGUAGCGGUGAAAUGCGUAGAGAUUUGGAGGAAUACCAGUGGCGAAGGCGGCCCCCUGGGUCAAGAUUGACGCUCAUGCACGAAAGCGUGGGGAGCAAACAGG
rnacentral:rRNA from 1 species